AUGGAGCUGAAGACGGUAACGUUAACCCAGGCGAACGGUUUCUGCAUCAUACCCGUAUUCCCUUUCGAAAGCCAGCAACAGGACCCCGACCAUGCCUCCACCCAUCUGUCCUCCUCAAACCUGAACCCAGAUCAGCAGAGUGUGACCCCGAUGACCCACACAUCAGGAAGCUCAGCAGGUCAUCCCUCUUAUUCACUGUAUUGGGCCCUUCUCAACAAAGCUACCAGGACAAGUCCAGUGUCUGACAAAACUUCUCGGUACGGCCUGGAUCCUCAGCUUCUACGCAGUGUGGUCCAUGUGAUUAAAGAGGACAGGAUCCAGUAGGAGGGGAAAUCUUCAGUUCCCCGUCUCUGCUCAACACAAUGCACCCUGGAGGACAGAGGUACUAUCACUGCUGCCCAAGGUAGCCAUAUUACCUUUUGACUUCAUAGAUUCACAUGAAAAAUAAAUGUGAUACACCUGGCUUUUGUAUCACAGCAGCUUUUGUUUGUACUUUGUUGUGAAUUAUUCUGACUUUAACUGACUUUCAGACAAUAAUGGAGCUAGGCACACAAAGGAAAUGAAAUAUUGACAGCUGCUGUUCUUAUAAUCAGACAUCAUGAUAAUCAGCUGUUGUUUUCCAGUCUUAUAAAUUCAGCACCACAUUAAUGGCGGAGUCAUGCUGACACUAGGACAAACAUACAUUUCCAUUACAGCUUCACUUAUCUUUUUGUUUUAAUUAUGCUUUUAAUGCUUUUAAUAAUAAUUUAGUAAUAAUUAUUUAGUAAUCCACGUCCUACACCUAUGUCACUAUUAUUUGUCUUAUUUGCCAGGAUGUUGAAUUGUGUGGGUGUGAAUCAUGUUGAGAAAUUUUGAGAAAUCUCAAUCACCUUCACAUACUCUUCAGUGCUUUACUAAUUAUUUUAAAGAUGAAAUACUAUUAUACACGUGUUGUUCGAAUGUUUUCCACAGCGUGAUGUGCCAGUUUGAGGCUGAAGAUUGUGUUAAGGGCUUUGCACACUGCGGGGCCUUCAUGAUCCCUGCUAUGAGCUAGCAGGACUGCAGGCAAAGAUUCUACUGUCCUUUCUGCUACAAACUCACAGAAUGUAAGUCUUGUUUGGCCUGCAGUCUUUUUUCACAUUUCGGUUAAAGAUGUCCACAUAUGUUCUCCCAUUUUUGGUCAAACUUUCUUUUUCUCAUAGUGCCAUGGCAGCAGAAAAGAAACCUGAGAUCAGUCUUGGCCCAUAUGAUACUGCAAAAACAGGAAUGGCGUGAAUUUGUUUUGAACUUUAAUUUUUCUCUUGUUUUAUACUAUGUAUUGUAAUACAAACAACUAAUUCAAAGCAUGAUCAUGUUUUGUUUUUAUUUUAAAAUAUACACUACAGUAUAUAUUUAUCUGUCCAAAAGAAGUUAAAUAAAAUGCAUCUAUCUAUAAUAAAAAGUGCCUCACAUGGUUCCGUAGAGUGAACAAAGGCUUCCUGAAUCGAUACGUUUUUGUAAGAAAAAUAACCAUAUUUAAAACGUAAUAAUCAGUUUAAUCUAGCUUUUGUUCACUGUUGUACACGGAAGCAGCUCCAGGCGAAGACAUAUGAGGUUGGAAAGUGACGAACACAGAAUCGCAGGGUGAAGAAUAAAAAAACAAAACAACGGUCAUGAAUUAGUAUGAAUUAUAUGAAGUACAAAACAAGGAUUUGUAAAGAAGACUGUCAGAGGAUUUCGAUAUAAGCCAAGAGGAGACUGGUUUUCCUUUGCUAAAGUAAGGAAACUUUAGCCCCUUUCACACUGCACGUGGGUCCCGGAAAAUUGCCGGGUCGCCUUCUAUGUGAAUGCAAACAGGUCCCGGGUUUGAUCCCAGCUUGGGGACCUAGUAGCAUUGCCGGGUUCAAUCCUGGAACGAGUUCUGUGUGAACAAAAGGCAGAAAUAAUGCCAUAAAGGGUGUGUCGUAAUGAUGACGCAUGCUAUCGUGCGACUCUUUUAAUAGGUGUUUUGAAGGCAGAUCAACAUUCGCGAUGAAAAAAAGAUGUGCAAACUGUAAUGAAGCAGAGAUCAGUUAGCUCAUCACUAUCCACGCUUAAGCUGAGAUCGUUUGCCAGCUUAAGUGAAAGUUAACGUGAACUAGCGUUUUCGACUCGUAGUUUAGAAGAUCAUAGUGAAGAAUUAUCGUUAUAGCAAGAGGCAAAAGGUUACCAAUAGUCCUUUCUUCUUGGGCAGAGUUCUACAGGAAAUUUCACUUUUCAACCCUGAAUCGGAAGAUAGAUCCAGCUCACAAGAGCUUCCUGUUUCUGCAGGACUGAAGAUUCUUCAGGCAAGAGCCUUAAUAUGAGUCUUAAACAUGCAUGUGCUCUUGCUGAAAAAUUCUACAUCUGUGCUGCAUGCCUCACCUUGUUUCUGAAAGCACAAAUCAGAAAAACUCCUCUGGUUUCUUCAGCUCUAGCAAAGUGAAGGUGAUUUAAAGAGCAUGUAUUAUUUUCCACAAUAUUAGCCAUAAAGGUAGUUUUGAGGUUUAUAUAAAAGUUUCCUCUUGGUUUCAUGUUAGUCCAUCUUCCAAGGACCAGAUUCCUCGAUCUCAUUGGCUAAAGAGUGCUGCAGUGUGCACAUCUUUGUGUUCUCCCAUCAGGAAGUAGGCGGGGCUUUGCCAGGGCACAUCCCCUUUCUCACAGGGGGUGGUGUCAUCUGCUAUAACAGACUACAGGUAAUAAAUGCCAUCUGCACUCAGUCAACAUCAGUAACACCCUCAUGUCCUAUUACAUCAGAUGUAGAAAACCUUAGAGCCCAGUUUCUCUAAAACUGCUUUACAGAUUUGAAAUUUCAAAACAACCCUAUGGCUGCCUCGAGAAUUAGCCUGGAAUGUCAUAAUGGUUGGUACUUGUUAAAAGUCUCUGCUGCUAAUACAAGGUUUUUCUAGACAUCUUAUUAACUGAAAGUGUUACAAAG
ensembl:lncRNA